rnacentral:rRNA from 1 species
AUCCGGGUUGCGGACAGUGUCUGGUGGGUAGUUUGACUGGGGCGGUCUCCUCCUAAAGAGUAACGGAGGAGCACGAAGGUUGGCUAAUCCUGGUCGGACAUCAGGAGGUUAGUGCAAUGGCAUAAGCCAGCUUGACUGCGAGCGUGACGGCGCGAGCAGGUGCGAAAGCAGGUCAUAGUGAUCCGGUGGUUCUGAAUGGAAGGGCCAUCGCUCAACGGAUAAAAGGUACUCCGGGGAUAACAGGCUGAUACCGCCCAAGAGUUCAUAUCGACGGCGGUGUUUGGCACCUCGAUGUCGGCUCAUCACAUCCUGGGGCUGAAGUAGGUCCCAAGGGUAUGGCUGUUCGCCAUUUAAAGUGGUACGCGAGCUGGGUUUAGAACGUCGUGAGACAGUUCGGUCCCUAUCUGCCGUGGGCGCUGGAGAAUUGAGGGGGGCUGCUCCUAGUACGAGAGGACCGGAGUGGACGCAUCACUGGUGUUCGGGUUGUCAUGCCAAUGGCACUGCCCGGUAGCUAAAUGCGGAAGAGAUAAGUGCUGAAAGCAUCUAAGCACGAAACUUGCCCCGAGAUGAGUUCUCCCUGACUCCUUGAGAGUCCUGAAGGAACGUUGAAGACGACGACGUUGAUAGGCCGGGUGUGUAAGCGCAGCGAUGCGUUGAGCUAACCGGUACUAAUGAACCGUGAGGCUUAACCUUACAACGCCGAAGGUGUUU